rnacentral:rRNA from 1 species
AUUGAACGCUGGCGGCAUGCCUUACACAUGCAAGUCGAACGGCAGCACGGGUGCUUGCACCUGGUGGCGAGUGGCGAACGGGUGAGUAAUACAUCGGAACGUACCUUAUCGUGGGGGAUAACGCAGCGAAAGCUGUGCUAAUACCGCAUACGCCCUGAGGGGGAAAGCGGGGGAGCGCAAGACUUCGCGCGAUUAGAGCGGCCGAUGCCUGAUUAGCUUGUUGGUGGGGUAAAAGCCCACCAAGGCGGCGAUCAGUAGCUGGUCUGAGAGGACGAUCAGCCACACUGGGACUGAGACACGGCCCAGACUCCUACGGGAGGCAGCAGUGGGGAAUUUUGGACAAUGGGGGCAACCCUGAUCCAGCAAUGCCGCGUGAGUGAAGAAGGCCUUCGGGUUGUAAAGCUCUUUUGUCAGGGAAGAAACACCGGCUCUAACACAGUCCGGGAAUGACGGUACCUGAAGAAUAAGCACCGGCUAACUACGUGCCAGCCGCCGCCGUAA